GACGAACGCUGGCGGCGUGCUUAACACAUGCAAGUCGAACGGAAAGGCCUUGCUUUUGUGGGGUGCUCGAGUGGCGAACGGGUGAGUAACACGUGAGUAACCUGCCCUUGACUUUGGGAUAACUUCAGGAAACUGGGGCUAAUACCGGAUAGGAGCUCCUGCUGCAUGGUGGGGGUUGGAAAGUUUCGGCGGUUGGGGAUGGACUCGCGGCUUAUCAGCUUGUUGGUGGGGUAGUGGCUUACCAAGGCUUUGACGGGUAGCUGGCCUGAGAGGGUGACCGGCCACAAUGGGACUGAGAUACGGCCCAGACUCCUACGGGAGGCAGCAGUGGGGAAUUUUGCACAAUGGGCGGAAGCCUGAUGCAGCAACGCCGCGUGCGGGAUGACGGCCUUCGGGUUGUAAACCGCUUUCGCCUGUGACGAAGCGUGAGUGACGGUAAUGGGUAAAGAAGCACCGGCUAACUACGUG
rnacentral:rRNA from 1 species